rnacentral:rRNA from 1 species
CACGUAGGGGGGCGAGCGUUGUCCGGAUUUAUUGGGCGUAAAGAGCUCGUAGGCGGCUCGGUAAGUGAGGUGUGAAAAACUCCAGGCUCAACCCUGGAGACGCCACCCCGAUACUGCUUUUGGCUAGAGUCCGGUAGGGGGAGCAUGGAAUUCCUGGUGUAGCGGUGAAAUGCGCAGAUAUCAGGAGGAACACCAGUGGCGAAGGCGGGUGCUCUGGGGCCGGAACUGACGCUGAGGAGCGAAAAGCGUGGGGGAGCAAAACAGG